UUUUGAUAGAAAAUUCUAUUCACUACCUCUAAGAUCAAUAACUCCGAUCUUAAAUUGAAGGAUCCAAUCAUCCUUUUUUAGGACGUUGUUCGAUUUUGACCGUCCAUUUUAUGCUCGUUUGAUGGACUUUAUUAUAAUUUCGAAAAAUUACGAAAUUUAUUUUUUAGAAGUUUCAAAUACUCUAGAUCAUAUUUAACGGACUAGAUCGUCGAUUCAGAAACCCCAUCAUCGAAAACAACAAAUGAGUAUGAAGGGCCCAAUACUCAUAAGAGUAUAAUAGCCCUACUCUAUAUAUAUAUAUAGGGUCCGGCUACUAUACUAUUAUGAGUACGAUCGCCCUCGUACUCAUAAGUUGUUUUCGAUGAUAGAGCUUCUGAAUCAACGAUCCAUACCGUUAAACAUUAUCUAGAGCAUUUAAAACUUUUAGAAAUCAAAUUUUAUAAUUUUUCGACAGCAUUUACCUUACGAUCAAAAGCUCACAAAAUUGAUAAUUUUUAACAGCCGGUGUGGGAUAUUUGCUAGUUUAACGAUAUAAAAGAAUUGGAAUAGGUUAAGUUUUUGAUAGAAAAUUCUAUUCACUACCUCUAAGAUCAAUAACUCCGAUCUUAAAUUGAAGGAUCCAAUCAUCCAUUUUUAGGACGUUGUUCGAUUUUGACCGUCCAUUUUAUGCUCGUUUGAUGGACUUUAUUAUAAUUUCGAAAAAUUACGAAAUUUAUUUUUUAGAAGUUUCAAAUACUCUAGAUCAUAUUUAACGGACUAGAUCGUCGAUUCAGAAACCCCAUCAUCGAAAACAACAAAUGAGUAUGAAGGGCCCAAUACUCAUAAGAGUAUAAUAGCCCUACUCUAUAUAUAUAUAUAGGGUCCGGCUACUAUACUAUUAUGAGUACGAUCGCCCUCGUACUCAUAAGUUGUUUUCGAUGAUAGAGCUUCCGAAUCGACGAUCCACACUGUUAAACAUUAUCUAGAGCAUUUAAAACUUCUAGAAAUCAAAUUUCAUAAUUUUUUGACAUCAUUUGCCUUACGAUCAAAAACUCACAAAAUUGACAAUUUUUAACAACCGUUAUGGGAUACUUGCUAGUUUAACGGUGUAAAAGAAUCGGAAUUUGUUGAAUUUUUGAUAGAAAAUUCUAUUCACUACAUAGAUAAAGAUCAAUAACUCCGAUCUUGAAUUGAAGGAUCCGAUCAUCCUUUUUUAGGACGUCGUUCGAUUUUGACCGUUCAUUUUAUGCCCACUUGAUGGACUUUAUUAUGAUUUCGAAAAUUUACGAAAUUUAUUUUCUAGAAGUUUCAAAUACUCUAGAUCAUAUUUAACGGAGUGGAUCGUCGAUUGGGAAGCUCUAUUAUCGAAAACAACUUAUGAGUACGAGGGCUCCAAUACUCAUAAUAGUAUAGUAGCCAUGGCCUAUAUAUAUAUAUAGGCUAGGCGACUAUACUCUUAUGAGUAUAGACCCUUUUAUACUUAUAAAUUUUUGGCUAUUGGAUGUGCGAUUAAGAUGAUAGUGGUCCUUUAGGAUUGAGUGGUCUCCUAGAAUGGAAAUGGUCAAAAAGAUAGAUCUAAUGGUCGAAAACUUAUGAGUAUAAAUGAGUCUAUACUCAUAAUAGUAUAAUAGCCGAACUCUCUAUAUAUAUAAUUAAUAUAAUAUAUACUUUAAUUAUAUAAAAUAAUAUAUUAUGUAUUUAAUUAUAU
rnacentral:lncRNA from 1 species